AGACGGGGGGUGCUAGCGUUGUUCGGAAUUACUGGGCGUAAAGGGCGCGUAGGCGGCUCUGCGAGUCGGGCGUGAAAUCCCGGGGCUCAACCCCGGAACGGCGCUCGAUACUGCGGGGCUGGAGACCGGAAGAGGAGGGUGGAAUUCCCAGUGUAGAGGUGAAAUUCGUAGAUAUUGGGAGGAACACCGGUGGCGAAAGCGGCUCUCUGGUCCGGUUCUGACGCUGAGGCGCGAAAGCGUGGGGGGCAAACAGGAUUAGAUACCCUAGUAGUCC
rnacentral:rRNA from 1 species